AUUUGGUUUUCAUAUCCCCACAUUUAGGCAAAUCAAGGGUAAGAGAUUUAAUAGGAACCUUAUUUCAGCAUACCAACACCCCCAAGUGGUGAGGGAUAAAAUUAAUAAAGAAGUGACUUUAGGGCGAAUGGCGGGCCCCUUUGCUGCCCCACCUUUACCUGAUUUGGUCAUUUCCCCGUUGGGGGUGGUUCCCAAGAAAGAGCCAGGGAAGUUUCGCCUCAUUCAGCACCUGUCGUACCCAAAAGGUAGCUCAGUCAAUGAUGCCAUUGACCCCCAACUCAGCUCGGUGCGCUAUCAAUCCUUUGAUAGCGCACUAGACCUGGUCAGGAGGGCGGGUCAUGGUGCUCUAUUGGCGAAACUAGACAUUGAGUCGGCAUUUAGGCUUCUUCCACUCCACCCCUCAGUUUUCCAUCUAAUGGGUUGUAAGUUUGCAGGUGUGUACUACGUGGAUCGCUGCCUGCCCAUGGGCUGCUCUUUGUCAUGCGCCUUGUUUGAGGCGUUCAGUAGUUUCCUUCAUUGGGUCGUAGCUUCAGAAGUGGGCAGCGAUCCCAUAGCACACUACCUGGACGAUUUUCUCAUUGUAGGGAGAGCAGGCUCCGAUGAUUGUUUAUCCACAAUGAACAUCAUGCGCAGCGUCAUGAGACAUUUCGGGGUGCCCCUAGCAGAGGACAAAACGCAAGGCCCCGCGUCCUGUUUAGUUUUCCUGGGAAUCGAAAUCGACACCCAGGCUCGGCUCUGUAGGUUGCCACCUGAUAAAGUUCAGGGCAUGCUUGAGGCGGUCAGAGCGGCAGUCUCUAAUGCAGUUAUUUCCCUGAAACAGUUACAAUCCCUGUUAGGUUUGCUUAAUUUCGCUUGCAGAGUUAUCCCCAUGGGUCGGGUUUUUAACCGUAGACUGGAAAGACAGCUUAGUGGUAGGUCAAACCCGAAAUCAAAGAUAACCCUAGGGAGUGAAUUGCUGGCUGACCUGGUAGUCUGGGAACAGUUUCUCACGCGAUUUAACGGGAUUCGGGUCUGGCGUACCCCUCCCAUGUCUAGCCAGUUACUGCACCUUUUCACUGACGCAGCUGGAUCGCACGGUUACGGGGCCUAUUUCCAGGGAGAGUGGAGCGCGGAGCCCUGGCCGGAGUCCUGGGCCCCGGCGGGCCUUACUCGAAACCUGACUCUCCUGGAGCUAUUCCCCGUGGUCUUGGCGGUCGAGCUGUGGGGUGGGAAGUUGUCGAACGGGACUGUUGUGUUCUGGACAGACAACAUCAGUGUGGUCUUUGCGAUCAAUAACUUGUCAGCCACCUCAGCAAAGGUCAUUACCUUGCUGCGCCACCUGGUGUUGCGCUGUCUGGACCUUAACAUCCAGUUCCAGGCCCGUCAUGUCCCGGGCGUCGACAAUGUUGUAGCUGACGCCCUGUCACGAUUCGAAUGGGCGACAUUUCGCAAGUUAGCCCCCACAGCUGCAGCCGUGGGCUUACGCUGUCCUGAUUUCCUUUGGCAGCUCGUCCUUCCUGGAUAGCCUUACUGCCGUUGGUCCGCUCCUCCUUAGCACCAUCCACUUGGCACGCCUAUGCCCGCAUGUGGUCUGAAUGGGACGAUUUCUGUGCGUCCAGGGGAGCCGACGCUGCUCAGGGGUCUAGGGACAACUUACAUGAUUGGCUGGCACUACCCCCGGGGUGAAGCGAAUCUGGAUUGUGGGCCACUCCUUUGUCCACUGGGCCUCCCUACGCUGUGCGUCCCUCCCAUUUGGCCAAUCCCUAGGUCUCCCUACCAACAAGGCAUCCGUUAGGUGGUUGGGUGAUAGGGGGAUGUGCUGGCCCCAAUUAGCAGGAACCAUAUCCGAGGCCCUGGUACGCUGGGGGAAGCCUCACAUUAUUAUUCUUCACCUAGGGGGUAACGAUGUGGGGGCCAUACCAGUUUUACAGUUGAUUAAGGUUAUGCAGGCAGACAUUGGGUGGCUAAGAGUACGCAUCCCGGGGGUCAUGAUAGGGUGGUCCCAUAUAAUACCCCGUCUCCACUGGAGGCAUAUGUUGGCCCAUACGGCGGCAUACCGGGUUAGGAAGAAGAUCAAUGCGUCUGUAGCGAAAACCGUCACUGGGUCAGGUGGCUUCGUGGUACGGCACGAAGCCAUUUCGGCUGAUAGAACCGAGCUAUAUAGAAGGGAUAAAGUUCACCUUUCUGA